CAGUCGCCGCGGGAAUACGGAGGGUGCAAGCGUUAAUCGGAAUUACUGGGCGUAAAGCGCACGCAGGCGGUUUGUUAAGUCAGAUGUGAAAUCCCUGAGCUUAACUUAGGAAUUGCAUUCGAUACUGGGAAGCUAGAGUAUGGGAGAGGAUGGUAGAAUUCCAGGUGUAGCGGUGAAAUGCGUAGAGAUCUGGAGGAAUACCGAUGGCGAAGGCAGCCAUCUGGCCUAAUACUGACGCUGAGGUACGAAAGCAUGGGGAGCAAACAGGAUUAGAUACCCGUGUAGUCCCUGUCUCUUAUAA
rnacentral:rRNA from 1 species